AGAGCGCACGGAGGAUGCCUUGGCACUAGGAGCCGAAGAAGGACGUGACAAACGACGAAACGCUACGGGGAGCUGUAAGUAAGCAAAGAUCCGUAGAUAUCCGAAUGGGGGAACCCACCGCUUUUAAAAGGGCGGUACGCGAAAGCGAGGUAACGCAGGGAACUGAAACAUCUAAGUACCUGUAGGAAGAGAAAGAAAAAUCGAUUUCCUAAGUAGCGGCGAGCGAAAGGGAAAGAGCCCAAACCAAUAUGCUUGCAUAUUGGGGUUGUAGGACUCUCAGAAAAACGUAUGACAAAGUAUAGUAGAACGAGCUGGAAAGUUAGACCGUAGAAGGUAAAAGUCCUGUAUACGAAAUGCUGAGUUGGCGUGAGAGAGCACCUGAGUACGGCGGAACACGAGGAAUUCCGUCGGAAUCUACCAGGACCAUCUGGUAAGGCUAAAUACUACCUAGUGACCGAUAGUGAACCAGUACCGUGAGGGAAAGGUGAAAAGAACCCCGGGAGGGGAGUGAAAGAGAACCUGAAACCGUGUGCUUACAAGUAGUCAGAGCCCUUUCGGGGGUGAUGGCGUGCCUUUUGUAGAAUGAACCGGCGAGUUACUUUAUCAUGCGAGGUUAAGUGGAAGACAUGGAGCCGAAGCGAAAGCGAGUCUUAAUAGGGCGAAAUAGUAUGAUGGAGUAGACCCGAAACCAAGUGAUCUACCCAUGGCCAGGUUGAAGUUUAGGUAACACUGAAUGGAGGACCGAACCAGGACACGUUGAAAAGUGUUUGGAUGAGCUGUGGGUAGCGGAGAAAUUCCAAUCGAACUUGGAAAUAGCUGGUUCUCUCCGAAAUAGCUUUAGGGCUAGCCUCGUUGUGAGUUUACUGGAGGUAGAGCACUGUUUGGACUAGGGGCCCAUCCCGGGUUACCGAAUUCAGACAAACUCCGAAUGCCAGAUAAAUAUCAACGGGAGUCAGACUGCGGGUGAUAAGGUUCGUAGUCGAAAGGGAAACAGCCCAGACCGCCAGCUAAGGUCCCAAAUUGUAUGUUAAGUGGAAAAGGAUGUGAUGAUGCACAGACAACCAGGAUGUUGGCUUAGAAGCAGCCACCAUUUAAAGAGUGCGUAAUAGCUCACUGGUCGAGUGACAUCGCGCCGAAAAUGUACCGGGGCUAAACAUACAACCGAAGCUGCGGAUAUAACUAAUGUUAUAUGGUAGGAGAGCGUUCUAACAUCAUAGAAGCCGAACUGGAAGGUGAGGUGGAGAGGUUAGAAGUGAGAAUGCCGGUGUGAGUAGCGAAAGAUAGGUGAGAAUCCUAUCCACCGAAAGACUAAGGUUUCCAGAGGAAGGCUCGUCCGCUCUGGGUAAGUCGGGACCUAAGGUGAAGCCGAUAGGUGAAGCCGAUGGACAACAGGUAGAAAUUCCUGUACCACCGAAUAUCGAUUGAGAGAAGUGGGGACAGAGGAGGCUAAUUGAUCGCCCUGAUGGAAUAGGGCGUCUAAGCACAAAGACUGACAAGUAGGCAAAUCCGCUUGUUGUAAAGGUUGAAGUGUGAUGGGGAGCGAAAUAUAGUAGCGAAGUCAAUGAAGCCAAACUCUCAAGAAAAGCCGCUAUCGAGAUAAGAGGUGCCCGUACCGCAAACCGACACAGGUAGUUGGGAAGAGAAUUCUAAGGUGAGCGAGAGAACCAUCGUUAAGGAACUCGGCAAAAUGACCCCGUAACUUCGGGAGAAGGGGUGCCUACGAGAGUAGGCCGCAGUGAAUAGGCCCAAGCGACUGUUUAUCAAAAACACAGGUCUCUGCAAAACCGAAAGGUGAAGUAUAGGGGCUGACGCCUGCCCGGUGCUGGAAGGUUAAGAGGAGUGCUUAGCGCAAGCGAAGGUAUGAAUUGAAGCCCCAGUAAACGGCGGCCGUAACUAUAACGGUCCUAAGGUAGCGAAAUUCCUUGUCGGGUAAGUUCCGACCCGCACGAAAGGCGUAAUGAUUUGGGCACUGUCUCAACGAGAGACUCGGUGAAAUUUUAGUACCUGUGAAGAUGCAGGUUACCCGCGACAGGACGGAAAGACCCCAUGGAGCUUUACUGUAGCUUGAUAUUGAAUUUUGAUGCAGUAUGUACAGGAUAGGUAGGAGCCUAAGAAUCAUGCACGCCAGUGUAUGAGGAGGCGUUGUUGGGAUACUACCCUUGCUGUAUUGAAAUUCUAACCCUCGGCAUAGAAAACCGGGAGACAGUGUCAGGUGGGCAGUUUGACUGGGGCGGUCGCCUC
rnacentral:rRNA from 1 species